CACCGCUGGCGAUGGGCGAAGAGAUACCUUGUUGGCGGUGGUGUUCUUCUAGCAGUCAGGGCAGAGCAGACAUCAUUUCUUUGUUCAUCCUAGAUUGAUGCCUGGCUUGGUGUCCAAAGCUAUUUUAUGACUAGGGCAUAUAA
ensembl:snoRNA LOC120097984 small nucleolar RNA SNORA48